UCGGACGGGUGAGUAACGCGUGAGAAUUCGCCUUUAGGAGGGGGAUAACGGAUGGAAACAUUCGCUAAAACCCCAUGUGCCCUUGGGUGAAAAAGAGAAAGUAAGUCAUACUGAUUUAUCUCUGCCUGAAGAGAAGCUCGCGGCUGAUUAGCUAGUUGGUAGGGUAAAGGCCUACCAAGGCGACGAUCAGUAGCUGGUCUGAGAGGACGAUCAGCCACACUGGAACUGAGACACGGUCCAGACUCCUACGGGAGGCAGCAGUGAGGAAUUUUCUGCAAUGGGCGAAAGCCUGACAGAGCAAUACCGCGUGGGGGAUGAAGACUUACUGAGUUGUAAACCUCGGUACCCUAAGGAAGAAGAUAUGACGGUACUUAGGGUGGAAAGCAUCGGCUAACUCCGUGCCAGCAGCCGCGGUAAGACGGGGGAUGCAAGUGUUAUCCGGAUUUACUGGGCGUAAAGCGUCUGCAGGUGGUUUCUUAAGUCUACUGUUAAAUCUUGAGGCUCAACCUCAAAUCUGCAGUAGAAACUAGGAGACUUGAGUAUAGUAGGGGUAGAGGGAAUUUCCAGUGGAGCGGUGAAAUGCGUAGAUAUUGGAAAGAACACCGAUGGCGAAGGCACUCUACUGGGCUAUUACUGACACUCAGAGACGAAAGCUAGGGGAGCAAAUGGGGAUUAGAUACCCC
rnacentral:rRNA from 1 species